GCCUCAGUACGGCGAGUGAGCGGCAACAGCUCAAAUUUGAAAUCUGGCCGCAAGGUCCGAGUUGUAAUUUGCAGAGGAUGCUUUUGGCGAGGUGCCUUCCGAGUUCCCUGGAACGGGACGCCAUAGAGGGUGAGAGCCCCGUACGGUUGGACCACCGAGCCUCUGUAAAGCUCCUUCGACGAGUCGAGUAGUUUGGGAAUGCUGCUCUAAAUGGGAGGUGUACGUCUUCUAAAGCUAAAUACCGGCCAGAGACCGAUAGCGCACAAGUAGAGUGAUCGAAAGAUGAAAAGCACUUUGAAAAGAGGGUUAAAAAGUACGUGAAAUUGUUGAAAGGGAAGCGUUUAUGACCAGACUUGGGCUUGGUUGAACAUCCGGCGUUCUCGCCGGUGCACUCUGCCAGUCCAGGCCAGCAUCAGUUUGUCCCGGGGGAUAAAGGCGGUGGGAAUGUGGCUCCCCCGGGAGUGUUAUAGCCCGCCGUGCAAUGCCCUGGGACGGACUGAGGAACGCGCUUCGGCACGGAUGCUGGCGUAAUGGUCAUCAACGACCCGUCUUGACCCACGGGACCA
rnacentral:rRNA from 1 species